UUAAAAAUCUACAAUAACGUAAAAAAAUAAAAAAAAGGCGUUGGUCACAGAAACUCUCAUUUGACUCUUGAACUAACGUGUCACUUGGGGCCUCUUAUCGCCUCACUCUCUCGCCGUCUCCGCUAUCAGAAAGAUCUGAGGUGUGCGUGGGAGCCCGGGACGAGGCCGGGCGAUGGCGGGGGGGAAGGAUGAGUGUGAAGGAUUGAUAGUCAUUUGGACUUCCUUGUACAAUCACGGUUUGGUAAAUUGUUAACUUUCAUUCUCUCAUUUUCUUCCGUGGAAUGGUAGAAUUUAAGACGUGGGGUUUUAUUUUGGCUGUCAAGAGGAUCAGUUUUCGAUCAAUCACUUAAAUUGUUAACUUCUUUUUUUUUCGUUUUGUUGUCAACAUUGUCCAUAUUCGAUUAUGAAAGCGUGGUUGCCUUAAGAUAGAUUACAAGGAAUGUUUAAAGCAGCUAAUGGCUUGUUUCUUGUGAUUGUGAAAGGCCAUUUUACACACACACACCCACACACACACAUCCCCCACCUUCUUUAACAACGCCGUCAUUUCGUAAUAUUCACUUGUUUAUCAUGCCAAUUCAGUUUAGUGUUGUGAAAUCCAACUACCGGAUUUGUAAAUGUUGUAUGUGAUCUUUUAACGAUGACUGAUGUAUUUCAUAUAUUUCAUCAAUGAUCAUAGCAGUAUUUGCUUUUCUGCUGUAAUUAUAUAUAUUGUUAGGUAAAUGUCAAAUACCUCUCACGAAUAUUACUUAUCACUUCUCAUUCUACUGAGUGUGUAUGACUAUAACCAAAAUUUAUUGCUUAACUAUUGGUGUUUUUAAAGAUCAUAAACAUUUCCUUCGCAUUUAAUGCCUCUAUAGCAAUGAAACUCGUCACUUCCUAAAUAUCGGUUAUUGUUAUUGAGUUUCCGUCUUUAUAGCAACUGAUCUAAGUGUUAUAAAGUUAAUUUGUAAUCAAGUCCAAUGUUUUUUAGUUUCGCUUAUUCUAGCUGUUAACUUGUAUCUUUAUUUUUUACGAUUUUUUUUUUUUCUAAUAUCAACUGAUCUUAGUUUUAUAGUGUUCAUUAGUAAUCAACUCAAAGGCGUUUGAGCGGCGGUUAUUUGAGCUUUUGUUCUUUUUAGAAAUAUGUAUCCUUUUUCUUGCAAUUAUUACCACUAAUAGUUAUUUUGUUAUAUUGCUGAUUAUCAUUAUCUUCCUUAUUUUUUUAAGUAUUAUUAUCACCAGUGUUAUCAGUGCCAUUAUUGUUGAUAACCUAUUCAUUGGUAAUGUUAUCACCAUAAUCAUUAUCAUCAUUACUGUUACUGCCAUCAUUAUUGUUAUCUUGCUGAUCAUUAGCAUAAUUAUUUUCAUUAAUUUUGCCGUAACGAUCAAUAUCAUUGUUACGGAAGACGGCUUGUAUCGCGCCUACAGAAAGGAGCGCCGUUAAUCGUUAUCAUUAUAUUUGUAUUUAUAAACGCCAAAUUUCAUUCACUAUAAAAUACAACAACACUUCCCCAUUUGUGAAUUUUCUAUUUUUCGUGAUAAUUCUAAAUAUUAUAUAUUGUUUGAAAUCGCCACUAAUAUAUUGAACAUAUUCAUUUAUUUAUUCAUUUUUUAAACAAUAGUGUCCGUAAAUAUUACAAAUCUUUUUAGAUACUGCUGGACAUAUAUU